rnacentral:tRNA from 2 species
GGGCCUGUAGCUCAGCUUGGUAGAGCAUCGGACUUUUAAUCCGAGUGUCCAGGGUUCGAAUCCCUGCGGGCCCACCA